ACGCAUGGUGUCUGACCCUUGGCUGUGAGGGAUGGCCCGUGACACUUACCCUCAGGUUCAGCUGGAUGACACUACUGUUGAUGGCAAGAGACAGAAGGUCAAACUCCAGGUGGUUGAAGGAUCUUGGCCCCACCCGCUCUUCCAGGAGCUCUCCCGCCCAGUCCCAGGAUUGCAGAGGAGCCAGGAAGCCCUGGGUUCGAGCCCCAGUGAUCUCGUAGGUGCUUGUGAAGCUGUAGUUGUGAAUUCC